UGGGGAAUUUUGGACAAUGGGGGAAACCCUGAUCCAGCCAUCCCGCGUGUGCGAUGAAGGCCUUCGGGUUGUAAAGCACUUUUGGCAGGAAAGAAACGUCAUGGGUUAAUACCCCGUGAAACUGACGGUACCUGCAGAAUAAGCACCGGCUAACUACGUGCCAGCAGCCGCGGUAAUACGUAGGGUGCAAGCGUUAAUCGGAAUUACUGGGCGUAAAGCGUGCGCAGGCGGUUCGGAAAGAAAGAUGUGAAAUCCCAGAGCUCAACUUUGGAACUGCAUUUUUAACUACCGGGCUAGAGUGUGUCAGAGGGAGGUGGAAUUCCGCGUGUAGCAGUGAAAUGCCUAGAUAUGCGGAGGAACACCGAUGGCGAAGGCAGCCUCCUGGGAUAACACUGACGCUCAUGCACGAAAGCGUGGGGAGCAAACAGG
rnacentral:rRNA from 1 species